rnacentral:rRNA from 1 species
UACGGAGGGUGCAAGCGUUAUCCGGAUUCACUGGGUUUAAAGGGUGCGUAGGUGGGCAGGUAAGUCAGUGGUGAAAUCUCCGGGCUUAACUCGGAAACUGCCAUUGAUACUAUCUUUCUUGAAUACCGUGGAGGUCAGCGGAAUAUGUCAUGUAGCGGUGAAAUGCUUAGAUAUGACAUAGAACACCAAUUGCGAAGGCAGCUGGCUACACUACUAUUGACACUGAGGCACGAAAGCGUGGGGAUCAAACAGG